GAUGAAGAACGUAGCGAAAUGCGAUAAGUAAUGUGAAUUGCAGAAUUCAGUGAAUCAUCGAAUCUUUGAACGCACAUUGCGCCCUCUGGUAUUCCGGGGGGCAUGCCUGCUCGAGCGUCAUUAUAACCACUCAAGCUCUCGCUUGGUAUUGGAGUUCGCGAUCUCGCGGCUCCUAAAAUCAGUGGCGGUGCCUGUCGGCUCUACGCGUAGUAAUACUCCUCGCGAUUGAGUCCGGUAGGUUUACUUGCCAGCAACCCCCAAUUUUUACAGGUUGACCUCGGAUCAGGUAGGGAUACCCGCUGAACUUAAGCAUAUCAAUAAGCGGAGGA
rnacentral:misc_RNA from 1 species